AAUAUUGGACAAUGGGCGAAAGCCUGAUCCAGCCAUGCCGCGUGUGUGAAGAAGGCCUUCGGGUUGUAAAGUACUUUUGGCAGAGAAGAAAAGGUAUCUCCUAAUACGAGAUACUGCUGACGGUAUCUGCAGAAUAAGCACCGGCUAACUACGUCCCAGCAGCCGAGGUAAUACCUAGGGUGUCAGUGUUAAUCGGAAUUACUGGGCGUAAAGCGUGUGUAGGCUGUUCGGACAGAAAGAUGUGAAAUCCCAGGGCUCAACCUUGGAACUGCAUUUUUAACUGCCGAGCUAGAGUAUGUCAGAGGGGGGUAGAAUUCCACGUGUAGCAGUGAAAUGCGUAGAUAUGUGGAGGAAUACCGAUGGCGAAGGCAGCCCCCUGGGAUAAUACUGACGCUCAGACACGAAAGCGUGGGGAGCAAACAG
rnacentral:rRNA from 1 species